ACACUUGGGAACCCCUGAUGUGCA
rnacentral:siRNA from 1 species